rnacentral:rRNA from 1 species
UACGUAGGGGGCAAGCGUUGUCCGGAAUCAUUGGGCGUAAAGCGCGCGUAGGCGGCUUUGCAAGUCGGGUGUGAAAUCCCCAAGCUUAACUUGGGAACUGCAUUCGAGACUGCAUUGCUAGAGUAUGGGAGAGGGAAGUGGAAUUUCCGGUGUAGCGGUGAAAUGCGUAGAUAUCGGAAGGAACAUCAGUGGCGAAAGCGACUUCCUGGACCAAUACUGACGCUCAUGUGCGAAAGCGUGGGGAGCAAACAGG